rnacentral:rRNA from 1 species
GACGAACGCUGGCGGCGUGCUUAACACAUGCAAGUCGAACGGUGAAGCGCCUUCCUUUUUGGUGGGUGUGGAUGAGUGGCGAACGGGUGAGUAACACGUGAGUAACCUGCCCCCUUCUUCUGGAUAACCGCAUGAAAGUGUGGCUAAUACGGGAUAUUCCGUGUCUGUCGCAUGAUGGGUCUGGGGAAGAUUUUGUUUCGGUGGGGGCUGGGCUCGCGGCCUCUCAGCUUGUUGGUGGGGUGCUGGCCUAACAAGGCGAUGCCGGGUAGCCGGCCUGAGAGGGUGGACGAGCAUACUAGUGCGGAGACGCGGCGCAGACUACGGGAGGCAGCAGCGGGGAGGAAUAGUGCACGAGGGGCGGAAGGCUGAAGCAGCGACGCGGCGUGGGAGAUGGAGGCCUGGGGGUUGUGAACCUCUUUCGCGAGUGAAGCAGGGCAGCCUCGUUUGUGGGUGUGUUGACGGUAGCUGGAGAAGAAGCGCCGGCUAACUACGUG